rnacentral:tRNA from 1 species
AAUUAGAAAGUAAUCAUUACAUUUAGUUUCGGCCUAAAAAUAUGGCCCAAAUCUAGGCCUCUAAUUU